CAGCAGCCGCGGUAAUACAGAGGAUUUAAGCGUUAUCCGGUAUGAUUGGGCGUAAAGCGUCUGUAGGUGGCUUUUCAAGUCCGCCGUCAAAUCCCAGGGCUCAACCCUGGACAGGCGGUGGAAACUACCAAGCUGGAGUACGGUAGGGGCAGAGGGAAUUUCCAGUGGAGCGGUGAAAUGCGUUGAGAUCGGAAAGAACACCAGUGGCGAAGGCGACUCUCUGGUCUGUAACUGACGCUGAGGAGCGAAAGCGUGGGGAGCGAACAGGAUUAGAUACCCGUGUAGUCCCUGUCUCUUAUAC
rnacentral:rRNA from 1 species